UACGAAAGGUGCAAGCGUUACUCGGAAUUACUGGGCGUAAAGCGCGCGUAGGCGGUCUUGUGUGUCGAUUGUGAAAGCCCUGGGCUCAACCUAGGAACCGCAGUUGAAACUGCAAGACUUGAAUACUGGAGAGGGUGGGGGAAUACCUAGUGGAGAAGUGAAAUUCGUAGAGAUUAGGUGGAACACCAGAGGCGAAGGCGCCUGCCUGGCCAAGUAUUGACGCUAAGGCGCGAAAGUGCGGGGAGCAAACAGG
rnacentral:rRNA from 1 species